rnacentral:misc_RNA from 1 species
AAAAUAAAUAAAUAAAUAAAUAAGGCAAAAUGCCAAUUUUGGCCCUUAAAUUAUUGGCCAAAAGUCAAAUAAACCCUUAAACUUUUUUUAGGUCCAAAGAAGCCCCUUAACUAUUUAAAAUGACAUUAUUAACUCCAAUGUUAACAGAGUUACACGAUGUUUACUUCACCUACCAAAAACUUUCAGUUUCUUCAAAUAUGGUGCUCAUCCCAUUUCUGUCAGAACUGUUAUUUUAUUCCAUCUCUGUUUUAAAUGCAUCCCUCACUUGAGCAAAUAUGAAUCCUAGGUGAGUUUCUAUGGCAGUUUCAGUAUUCCCAGCAACUUCAUCAUCUUCAAUGCCAAACCAUCAACAGGAUCACUCAAAUAUAAUGGAUAUUCAAAUGUGAUUUUACCAUUCCGGACUCUGUACUUCCAAAUUGAUUCUGAAGGCUUCCCAUAACAAAUUUCUUGCUAAGAAGACAUCCCAAAGCCAGUUGGUUCAAAUACUUUGUAUGGAAAUGCGAAAAAACAUGCAAUGGUUUGAUUUAAUUAUCAAAGGAAUAUCUAAACCUCGCAUGGAUAUUCCCAGCGGAGGAAGAAAAUCUCUAUUCUAUCAUGCUAAAAUUUUUAUAAUGUAGAAAAUUUUAGCAGAAAAAAAAAAAAAAGAUUUGAUGAAAUUAUCAACAAAAUGACAAAAUCUCACCUUGAGCCUAACCUGGGCAUCUCUAUUCUCAUCUAGGAACUUGACACUC